GCGCAGCAGGCGCGAAACUUUACAAUGUGCGAAAGCACGAUAAGGGAACUCUGAGUGCCUCCUAAGGAGGCUGUUCAGGUGUCUAAAAGCACCUGAAGGAAGGGCUGGGUAAGACCGGUGCCAGCCGCCGCGGUAACACCGGCAGCCCAAGUGGUAGCCACGUUUAUUGGGUCUAAAGCGUCCGUAGCCGGCUGGGUAAGUUCCUUGGGAAAUUUGGCUGCUUAACAGUCAAGCUUUCAGGGAAUACUGCCCGGCUUGGGACCGGGAGAGGUCAGAGGUACUCCAGGGGUAGGGGUGAAAUCCAUUAAUCCUUGGGGGACCACCGGUAGCGAAGGCGUCUGACCAGACCGGGUCCGACGGUGAGGGACGAAGGCUAGGGGCGCGAACCGGAUUAGAUACCCCCGUAGU
rnacentral:rRNA from 1 species